rnacentral:tRNA from 1 species
AGCUGGUAGCAUACUGGUUAGCGCUACUGCCUUUGAACCAAUAGGUUGUAGGUUUGCUCCCUACCUCUGGUUG